ACGGCAGCACGGACUUCGGUCUGGUGGCGAGUGGCGAACGGGUGAGUAAUAUAUCGGAACGUGCCCAGUCGUGGGGGAUAACGUAGUGAAAAUUACGCUAAUACCGCAUACGAUCUACGGAUGAAAGCGGGGGACUCGCAAGAGCCUCGCGCGAUUAGAGCGGCCGAUAUCAGAUUAGGUAGUUGGUGAGGUAAAGGCUCACCAAGCCCGCGAUCUGUAGCUGGUCUGAGAGGACGACCAGCCACACUGGAACUGAGACACGGUCCAGACUCCUACGGGAGGCAGCAGUGGGGAAUUUUGGACAAUGGACGAAAGUCUGAUCCAGCCAUUCCGCGUGCAGGAUGAAGGCCCUCGGGUUGUAAACUGCUUUUGUACGGAACGAAAAGGUCUCUCCUAAUACGAGAGGCUCAUGACGGUACCGUAAGAAUAAGCACCGGCUAACUACGUGCCAGCAGCCGCGGUAAUACGUAGGGUGCAAGCGUUAAUCGGAAUUACUGGGCGUAAAGCGUGCGCAGGCGGUUAUAUAAGACAGAUGUGAAAUCCCCGGGCUCAACCUGGGAACUGCAUUUGUGACUGUAUAGCUAGAGUACGGUAGAGGGGGAUGGAAUUCCGCGUGUAGCAGUGAAAUGCGUAGAUAUGCGGGAGGAACACCGAUGGCGAAGGCAAUCCCCUGGACCUGUACUGACGCUCAUGCACGAAAGCGUGGGGAGCAAACAGGAUUAGAUACCCUGGUAGUCCACGCCCUAAACGAUGUCAACUGGUUGUUGGGUCUUAACUGACUCAGUAACGAAGCUAACGCGUGAAGUUGACCGCCUGGGGAGUACGGCCGCAAGGUUGAACUCAAGGAAUUGACGGGACCCGCACAGCGUGGAUGAUGUGGUUUAUUCGAUGCACGCGAAAA
rnacentral:rRNA from 1 species